rnacentral:lncRNA from 1 species
ACUCCAUCAAGGCCGAAGUUCGUCGCGACGAGCGAGCGAGAUCUGGAUCUUCUACCCUCUUGACGAGCGAGCGAAUCCGAGAUCCAAGCAAUCCGAGCACCACUCCAUCUGGAUCGUCUCUCACCCAUUGCUGUGAUCGGAGGUCCUCCUCUCGCGGAUUGGCGACGGCUCUGCUUCCUGCUCCUACGAAAAUGAUGGCUUCGACUCUGCUUCCUGCUCCUGCGACCGACCUUCUGACCCAGCUGAAGGAAC